UUCACAUCAGCUUUACUUGUAAUAGCCCCAAACUGAAAACAACUCACAUGUUGAUUAACAGAUGAAUGGGUGAUACACUGCAAUACACGCAUCCUGUAUAAUACUCCUCUGCAGUGAAAAGAAUGCACUAUUGAAACAUGCAGUAGCCUGGAUGCAUCUCCAAAUCACUAUGCUGAAUGAAAGAAACCAGACCCAAAAAAACCAGAACAUACCAUGUGGUUCCAUUUGUAUAAAAUUUUUGGAAAUGGUGCCUACUCAGUAAUGACAGAGAGCAGAUUAGUGGGUGCUUGGGGCCAAGGAGUGGGGAGCAGCAGGGAGAGGGAUUACAAAGCAGCAUCAGGAAACUUGGGGGGGUGAUGACUAUGCUCAUUAUCUUGAUUGUGGUGAUGAUAUAUUGAUAAGCCCGAUUUAUCAAACUGUACACUUGAAGUAUGUACAGUUUAUUGUAUGCCAGUUGUCACUCAAUAAAGCUGACAUUCAUUAAUCAGAACAAGGUUUCGGAAGUAAGUAGUGGCGCUGGACCAGACUGCCUUUCUGGAAUAGUUUGUUUGUGGCAUCAGUGGAGGAUGAGAGAAGGAAUGUAAGCAGGGAUAAAGUAUGGAGCAAUUUGAUUCUCAAGCUAAGUUCCAACAGUGUCCUUUGUUGAGUAGGGGAAUUGAACACAGGGUGUCAAGGGCAAAACCAGGUCAUUUUAGUAAAUUGGGGCUGGCAAUAAUGUAUGUGCUGUAUUAGAGGUAGAGAGUGGGGCAGGGAUGCCUUCACUCAUCCGCUCAUUCAUUCAAUACCUGUGGAUUCCCCUCUAUGGGCCUGAUACUCUUAUGGGGUAUUUUUCUUACAUAUUAGGGACCCAAGAAACAUUCAGAUCUUGGCUUCCCUUUUACCCCCCACACAGAGAGCAGAAUAUAAAAGAUGGAAUCAGAGAACAAUUCUAAUCAGUCCAGUCAAUUCAGUGUAUGUUUCUUACGCCCGCAGAAUUAAGUAGGAGACCACGGCAACCAUCCCAGCCCCAGGGAGGAGUUUAUGACAUCAGAUAGGUGAUGGCUGGUGGGUUCAGAGUAAUUAAGACUGAUGGAUAACUGCAGAGAGGAAAUCUAGUUUUCAGGGCAAACAGAUGCGUCCAAGAGAGAGCCCACACACGUGGUUGGAUGCAGCUGGAGAUGGAGAAUUCCAGUUCAAGGAAAAGGCCUGGGCAGUAUGUGUUUGGUGGUGGUCGUUGACCCUGAAAAUAGAUGGAAUCUUGGAGGGAGAAAGCGAGUGUGGAAAGUGAAGGUCAGGUUGUGAGCUCUGGGGCAGCCCACAGUCAGAGGGUGGGUCAAAGCUAGAAGGGCGAGCAGGCCGCACGCACACACACGCAAAGCAGCUGCCUUCACUGACAAUCAAUGGCAGCCACCUGAGCUGUGGCUGAGCUGCUGUGAGCCGAAGCAGUGGGCUUGCUAAAUGCCGUCAUCCAGCUUCCCCUUGACCCUGGCUGUCAGGCCUGGGUCUGGGAGCUUAGGGAUCAUUUUGUGCAGUCUGCUCACCCUCUGGCUGUGCCAGGGCACAGGAUUUUCUACAAAAGAAGGAAUCUGGGUGUAGAAGCACGAGGCUGAUGACUCAUUUACCAUUGGAAGACUUCAAAUCCAAACUGCAGUUGUCAAAAUAAGAUUAGUGCUUUCAGACAUGAUGAAAGAGAGGGCAUGGUCUCGAAAAGGCAAGCUUGGGUUUUGCCUGCAUUUGUGGAGCCCUAACUCAUAGCAAGCUUUCCUGUGGGAGUGGGCAGAGACCCCAUCGUUUACCCAGUUGAGUGAAAUGGCAGCCCUAAUAACCCACUUCUCCUUCUCUCUUGCUGUGAUAAACAAUUUCUGAUUUCUACAUCUCAGAUUAAAUAACAGCAAGAGCUAUAAAAAGUA